rnacentral:rRNA from 1 species
AUUGAACGCUGGCGGCAGGCCUAACACAUGCAAGUCGAGCGGAUGAAGGGAGCUUGCUCCUGGAUUCAGCGGCGGACGGGUGAGUAAUGCCUAGGAAUCUGCCUGGUAGUGGGGGAUAACGUCCGGAAACGGGCGCUAAUACCGCAUACGUCCUGAGGGAGAAAGUGGGGGAUCUUCGGACCUCACGCUAUCAGAUGAGCCCAGGUCGGAUUAGCUAGUUGGUGGGGUAAAGGCCUACCAAGGCGACGAUCCGUAACUGGUCUGAGAGGAUGAUCAGUCACACUGGAACUGAGACACGGUCCAGACUCCUACGGGAGGCAGCAGUGGGGAAUAUUGGACAAUGGGCGAAGGCCUGAUCCAGCCAUGCCGCGUGUGUGAAGAAGGUCUUCGGAUUGUAAAGCACUUUAAGUUGGGAGGAAGGGCAGUAAGUUAAUACCUUGCUGUUUUGACGUUACCAACAGAAUAAGCACCGGCUAACUUCGUG